rnacentral:rRNA from 1 species
UACGGAAGGCAGCAGUGGGGAAUAUUGCACAAUGGGCGCAAGCCUGAUGCAGCCAUGCCGCGUGUAUGAAGAAGGCCUUCGGGUUGUAAAGUACUUUCAGUCGUGAGGAAGGUGUUAAGGUUAAUAACCUUAGCAAUUGACGUUAGCGACAGAAGAAGCACCGGCUAACUCCGUGCCAGCAGCCGCGGUAAUACGGAGGGUGCGAGCGUUAAUCGGAAUUACUGGGCGUUAAAGGGCACGCAGGCGGUUAAUUAAGUUGGAUGUGAAAUCCCCGGGCUUAACCUGGGAAUGGCAUUCAAGACUGGUUAGCUAGAGUCUUGUAGAGGGGGUAGAAUUCCAUGUGUAGCGGUGAAAUGCGUAGAGAUGUGGAGGAAUACCGGUGGCGAAAGGCGGCCCCUGGACAAAGACUGACGCUCAUGUGCGAAAGCGUGGGGA